AGUGAACGCUGGCGGUAGGCCUAACACAUGCCAGUCGAACGGCAGCACAGUAAGAGCUUGCUCUUACGGGUGGCGAGUGGCGGACGGGUGAGGAAUACAUCGGAAUCUACUUUUUCGUGGAGGAUAACGUAGGGAAACUUACGCUAAUACCGCAUACGACCUACGGGUGAAAGCAGGGGAUCUUCGGACCUUGCGCGAUUGAAUGAGCCGAUGUCGGAUUAGCUAGUUGGCGGGGUAAAGGCCCACCAAGGCGACGAUCCGUAGCUGGUCUGAGAGGAUGAUCAGCCACACUGGAACUGGGACACGGUCCAGACUCCUACGGGAGGCAGCAGUGGGGAAUAUUGGACAAUGGGCGCAAGCCUGAUCCAGCCAUACCGCGUGGGUGAAGAAGGCCUUCGGGUUGUAAAGCCCUUUUGUUGGGAAAGAAAAGCAGCAGGUUAAUACCCCGCUGUUCUGACGGUACCCAAAGAAUAAGCACCGGCUAACUUCGUG
rnacentral:rRNA from 1 species